UCCCGCUGCGCUCGGGCGCUCGGCUCCUUCCAUCAGGUCGCGCCGCCGCCAGCAGCCAGGACGCACCGGCGCCUCCGCCUGUCCACUCCACCAGCCACCCGGACAUCCCGCCGCCAGCCGCUCCUGGCCUCCUUCCAACAGAACGCAGCGACACGCCGCCAUUCGCCUUCUCGGUCGGAGCAACCACGCCCGCCUCCCAUCUUGAUUUCUGACCGCUGUCGCCGUUUUGGGUCUGGUCUCCCGAGCAGGAAGAGCUACAGGCUGCAGCUACUACCGGCCUACCGCCUCCGACCCUUCGCCUCAUCCGCACAGCCGACCGACGCCCUCGUCCUAGUGGCCAGUUCUCAGUCAGUGG
rnacentral:rRNA from 1 species